rnacentral:rRNA from 1 species
UACGGGGGGAGCAAGCGUUGUUCGGAUUUACUGGGCGUAAAGGGCGCGCAGGCGGCUCAUUUUGUCAGGCGUGAAAGCCCCGGGCUUAACCUGGGAACUGCGUUUGAUACGGAUGGGCUAGAGUUCGGGAGAGGAGAGUGGAAUUCCCAGUGUAGAGGUGAAAUUCGUAGAUAUUGGGAAGAACACCGGUGGCGAAGGCGGCUCUCUGGACCGAUACUGACGCUGAGGCGCGAAAGCGUGGGGAGCAAACAGG